rnacentral:lncRNA from 1 species
CUGCGUCAGGGACAUGGACCCAUCCGUAUGGCCUUGCGACCCGACCCCACUAUUUCGUGACAAGGUAGCCCGCGCGCGUCAGUGCUAUCGAGCGAAAUGUGGGCUCACGGAAGCAAACGUCAUUCGGAAACUGCCUCGCCAGCUAUCAUGUACUAACCCGCUCUACGCAGCACCUCGACGCCGGACGUCGCCUGCUGUGUUCGUCGGAGCCGGGCCGGGCAGCAGCUACGAGCGUCACUCGCACCGCCGCACACCGUGUUCCGUCGUCGGUGCGGACUUGUGGGCCUGGACUACUACGGGAUCCCGAGGUCCGCUUUCGAGAUUGCGGACCACGAGUAGAAAGGAUAUCCAGUGUGCUGCUCCACGUUUGCCAUCCUCCCAACGUCCCCCACCGGAGAUGGCCUCGAGCACCUCUUACCGUGGCUGACCGCGUUGGCUCCUUUGCAUUUCCACGUCCAUGGCGUCCUGCUGGCACGAGGGACUUCGUCUGCUACUACUGCCCACGUGUAAGACGGAUAUCCAGCGCGCUGCUCCACGUUUGCCAUCCUCCCAACGUCCCCAUCAGGAGAUGGCCUAGAGCACCGCUCGUACCGUGACCCACCUUCCCCUUUGCCGGUGCGGUCUCCCUGGAAGAGGAGAUUGCUCAUCGCCCUGCUUUGCUACGGGCAAGUACCACGCACAGGCGACUCGUACUACGGCUGUGUCCUAGAGUGGUCGAAAAA